rnacentral:lncRNA from 1 species
CAACUAGUACUCUAGCAAAUGAGAUCUUCUCAAAGUGAGCUAUGAAUUUAUCUGUGUACAAAGGCUUACCCACUGCACUGGCUAGUUUGCUUAGAAUUUCAGGAGACCAGUAGCCCACUGGUAGACCUGGGAAUCGAAUCCAAACAGGUACAGUACUAAGAACAUCAUUUUGAAAAGAGAAGUCAACAUCCCAAGGUUUCAGCACCAUAGGUUUGUUCCUGUACGAGUAGGGUCCAGAUUGGAGAACUAAGUUUUUAUCCUCAACAUUAUUGAAUCGAAA